rnacentral:misc_RNA from 1 species
CGAAAUGCGAUACGCAAUGCGAAUUGCAGAAUUCCGCGAGUCAUCAGAUCUUUGAACGCAACUGGCGCUGGAGGGAUAUCCUUCCAGCAUGCUUGUUUCAGUGUCUAGAAACUUCAAAUAUCUUAAUGUGAUUGAGAAGUGUUGUUAUAUAACAAUAUCAUCUCUCUCAUGAAAUAUGAAGAUGUGGAUCUUUUGAUCCAGCGAAGUGGUCACAUCUUGUAUGUGAUUUCGUUGGCACUCGAAUUAUCCGUAAACAUCUUAUAUCUAUAUAUAUUUUCUUCAAUAUGCAUCUGAAAUCAAGCAAGGUCACCCGCUGAACUUAAGC